GCCUCAUUAGCUCAGUGGUUAGAGCACUGAUCUUUUACCCAGGGGUCAGGAGUUCAAUUACCUGAAGGGGCU